UGCAAGUCGAACGGAGCUUAGAGAGCUUGCUUUUUAAGCUUAGUGGCGAACGGGUGAGUAACGCGUGAGUAACCUGCCCUAGAGUGGGGGACAACAGUUGGAAACGACUGCUAAUACCGCAUAAGCCCACGGUACCGCAUGAUACUGAGGGAAAAGGAUUUAUUCGCUUUAGGAUGGACUCGCGUCCAAUUAGCUAGUUGGUGAGGUAACGGCCCACCAAGGCGACGAUUGGUAGCCGGACUGAGAGGUUGAACGGCCACAUUGGGACUGAGACACGGCCCAGACUCCUACGGGAGGCAGCAGUGGGGGAUAUUGCACAAUGGGGGAAACCCUGAUGCAGCGACGCCGCGUGGAGGAAGAAGGUUUUCGGAUUGUAAACUCCUGUCGUUAGGGACGAUAAUGACGGUACCUAACAAGAAAGCACCGGCUAACUACGUGCCAGCAGCCGCGGUAAAACGUAGGGUGCAAGCGUUGUCCGGAAUUACUGGGUGUAAAGGGAGCGCAGGCGGGAAGGCAAGUUGGAAGUGAAAACCAUGGGCUCAACCCAUGAAUUGCUUUCAAAACUGUUUUUCUUGAGUAGUGCAGAGGUAGAUGGAAUUCCC
rnacentral:rRNA from 1 species